UACGAAGGGGGCUAGCGUUGCUCGGAAUCACUGGGCGUAAAGGGCGCGUAGGCGGCCGUUCAAGUCGGGGGUGAAAGCCUGUGGCUCAACCACAGAAUUGCCUUCGAUACUGUACGGCUCGAGACCGGAAGAGGUGAGUGGAACUGCGAGUGUAGAGGUGAAAUUCGUAGAUAUUCGCAAGAACACCAGUGGCGAAGGCGGCUCACUGGUCCGGUACUGACGCUGAGGUGCGAAAGCGUGGGGAGCAAACAGG
rnacentral:rRNA from 1 species